CCUACGGGUGGCAGCAGUGGGGAAUAUUGCGCAAUGGGCGAAAGCCUGACGCAGCGACGCCGCGUGAGGGAUGAAGGUCUUCGGAUCGUAAACCUCUGUCAGCAGGGAAGAACGGUCACUGUGCUAAUCAGCAGUGAAUUGACGGUACCUGCAAAGGAAGCACCGGCUAACUCCGUGCCAGCAGCCGCGGUAAUACGGAGGGUGCGAGCGUUAAUCGGAAUUUCUGGGCGUAAACCGCUCGUAGGCGGGAUGUCAAGUCAAGGGUGAAAUCACCGCGCUCAACGUGGGAACUGCCUUUGAAACUGGCAAACUGGAGUGUGUGAGAGGAUAGUGGAAUGCCAGGUGUAGGAGUGAAAUCCGUAGAUAUCUGGAGGAACAUCAGUGGCGAAGGCGACUAUCUGGCACAUAACUGACGCUGAGGAGCGAAAGCGUGGGUAGCAAACAGGAUUAGAUACCCGAGUAGUC
rnacentral:rRNA from 1 species